rnacentral:rRNA from 1 species
GACAGAGGGUGCAAACGUUGUUCGGAAUCACUGGGCGUAAAGCGCACGUAGGCGGCUUCUCAAGUCAGGGGUGAAAUCCUGGAGCUCAACUCCAGAACUGCCUUUGAUACUGAGGGGCUCGAGUCCGGGAGAGGUGAGUGGAACUGCGAGUGUAGAGGUGAAAUUCGUAGAUAUUCGCAAGAACACCAGUGGCGAAGGCGGCUCACUGGCCCGGUACUGACGCUGAGGUGCGAAAGCGUGGGGAGCAAACAGG